rnacentral:rRNA from 1 species
GCAGCCGCCACGGGAAUACAGAGGGUGCGAGCGUUAAUCGGAUUUACUGGGCGUAAAGCGUGCGUAGGCGGCUUUUUAAGUCGGAUGUGAAAUCCCUGAGCUUAACUUAGGAAUUGCAUUCGAUACUGGGAAGCUAGAGUAUGGGAGAGGAUGGUAGAAUUCCAGGUGUAGCGGUGAAAUGCGUAGAGAUCUGGAGGAAUACCGAUGGCGAAGGCAGCCAUCUGGCCUAAUACUGACGCUGAGGUACGAAAGCAUGGGGAGCAAACAGGAUUAGAGACCCCCGUAGUCCCUGUCUCUUAUAC